AGUGAACGCUGGCGGCGUGCCUAAUACAUGCAAGUCGAACGGAGUGGCGCUCGGGUGAGUAAUGUAUAGCUAAUCUGCCCUACACUAGAUGACGACAGUUGUAAACGGCUGCUAAUACUCGAAAGUGCAGGAUGAGGCUAUAUUGUUUCAGCUAGUUGGUGAGGUAAUGGUUCACCAAGGCUAUGACGCAUAACUGGUCUGAGAGGAUGAUCAGUCACACUGGAACAGAGACACGGUCCAGACUCCUACGGGAGUCAGCAGUAGGGAAUAUUGCUCAAUGGGGGAAACCCUGAAGCAGCAACGCCGCGUGGAGGAUGACACUUUUCGGAGCGUAAACUCCUUUUGUUAGGGAAGCGGUACCUAACGAAUAAGCACCGGCUAACUCCGUGCCAGCAGCCGCGGUAAUUC
rnacentral:rRNA from 1 species